rnacentral:sRNA from 1 species
CCCUAGCCCCGAUUGCAACGGCAUCCUUUUUGCCAUUAAAAGCAAAAAGAUAUAGUGGAAAGCGGGAAAUAGC